rnacentral:tRNA from 1 species
GUCUCGGUAGCUUAGUUGGUAAAGCGCUCGUCUAGCAUACAAGAGUCCUGGGUUCAAAUCCCAGCCGAGUACG